GUGAAGGGUGCAGUCCCGUCCUUUAUUUGGCUAACGCAGCUCAGCAUGGACCAACUCCAGUCAAAUGCUGUGAUAGCUACUCAUCUCAUGUGAUUCCUAUAGGCAAGGUAGUGUCUUACUUCACAACCAGCAGUAGCUGCUACCUGAAUGCGCAUGUGCUUAAAACAGUAGCAGGUAAGGAGUUCUGUGUGAAGCCUGACCUGCACUGGGUAAAGAAGAUUGUGGACAAGUUGGAUAUGAGGACAUAAGCUUCUCCAGCUUCCCAUCGGUGAAUCAACCCUCUAUGGUCGCUCUGAAGAAGUCCUGGGACUUUCCUGCAUUGUCUGAUGACAGUGAUUUACUCAACUAAUUUAAGCUUCUUCAAACUCUGACUAUGCUGUUGUUUGUACAAAAUCAGUGUUGUUGUGCUACUGUGAAAUUUGU